GUGCUCACUUCCGCAGCACAUGGGCUAAAAUUGGAAUGACACAGAGAAGGUGAGCGUGGCCCCCGCUGAGGAUGGCUGCAAAUCUGUGAAGCAUUCCAUAGCUGG
ensembl:snRNA U6 U6 spliceosomal RNA